GAGGGCAUAACUCAGUGUAGAGUGUAAGCCUAGCAUGCACGAGUUCCUGGGUUCAAUUCCCAGUACCUCCA
rnacentral:tRNA from 1 species